UACCCCCAUCAGAAGGACAGGAGCACCGCGUCGCAGAGAGCCUCAGGAGUCAUCACAGGUAAGUUUUGUUGCAUUUUGGCAGUGGUCUGUUGCGGCCGCUGGAAGUGGGCCACUUGCAACAAUUUUGUCCGGCCGGCGAUUGCAGGUUAGUUGUUCUUGGUAUCGGCAUCCAUCGCUGCCGUCAUUUGAUAAAAUUGCCGUUCGUCAGGAAGAGGAGUUGCAAUGAGUUGCCCCACGCAGCUGUCAUUGCAUUUUUUGAGAGCUGCUGUCAAUAUGGUGGUGGAGUCGUCUCGUGGCGAAGAAGUCAUCAGAGAGGAUUGUGGCUCGGUCUGUCACCGAAGGAAGCCAGGUGCGCCGCGUCUUGUGGCCAUAGCGUCAGGAUUGGCAGCUUGGGGCCGCCGUUUUAAGAUUUGUAGCAGAGAGCCGCCGCAACGGAAUAGCCAUGGAAAUGGAUGCAAAAAUAGUAUUUGGUACAUUGAGUGGAAUUAAUUUAAGGUAAGUAUUAUAUUGGUGUAUAUUUGUUUAUAUUGUUG